GAGACCCACGCCCACAGUUGCCAGCGUACUCUCCGGAGUGACGGGUACACUGUGGGGACCGCCGCUGCUAAAGCGGAGGAAGGAAUGGGCAACGGUAGGUCAGCAUGCCCCGAAUUAUCCGGGCUACACGCGGGCUACAAUGGUCAGGACAAUGGGUAUCGACACCGAGAGGUGAAGGCAAUCUCUUAAACCUGUCCUUAGUUCGGAUUGUGGGCUGCAACUCGCCCACGUGAAGCUGGAAUCCGUAGUAAUCGCGUCUCAACAUGGCACGGUGAAUAU
rnacentral:rRNA from 1 species